rnacentral:rRNA from 1 species
ACAGCAGUCGCCGCGGGAAUACGUAGGUGGCAAGCGUUGUCCGGAAUUAUUGGGCGUAAAGGGUGCGUAGGCGGUUUCGUAAGUCUGAUGUGAAAUCUAUGGGCUCAACCCAUAGUCUGCAUCGGAAACUGCGAGGCUUGAGAGUGGGAGAGGUGAGUGGAAUUUCCGGUGUAGCGGUGAAAUGCGUAGAUAUCGGAAGGAACACCUGUGGCGAAAGCGGCUCACUGGACCAUUUCUGACGCUGAUGCUCGAAAGCUAGGGGAGCAAACAGGAUUAGAUACCCCUGUAGUCCCUGUCUCUUAUAC